rnacentral:lncRNA from 1 species
CAGGGCUCUUUUUCAUUUCAUUUUAUUUAAUUUUUUCCUUUGUCAACGUUAUGGACGUGUGCUUGAAAGAGAAAGAAAGAAAGAGACAGAUGUUAUUACAUCAUUAUGCUCUAAUUAACACCUAAUCUUUUCCAAAAUUAAAAAUUAAUUGAUGGAAAAGUCUAUAAUUAUCAACAAAAUAUCUUGCUUAAUUACCAAUAUUAGCCAUUAGGUGAUUCUCUAU